rnacentral:misc_RNA from 1 species
ACACCACUCGCCCGUCCCCCUCUCUCUUUUUUUGUUCUCUUCUUCAGUCUUGGAAACAAGGGUGAAGAAAGGAGGAAUAGGAGGGGGGGCCGCGGCGGACUCUGCGUGUUCCGGACGCGACUCCGAUGCACCGAAUCUCGUGAACGAAGACCUCCUCUCGAUGGUACACCGCCGUGUCGGGGACGUGGCAGGAGUUGUUGACGGCGUGUUUGCUUGAUUGAUUCUGAUUGAGCGGCACGACUCUCGACUCCGCGAAGCCAGUCCUUCGGCAUGUGUGUUGGUGUAAAAGGGGACGAGUUCCGGUUGCCUCGUCUCACUGAAUACUCUUAUUGAGUGGCGGCGAAACUACCCCAACUUUCG